ACCUAGCUGGCUCAGUUGGUGGAGUAUGCAACUCCUGAUUUUUGGGUUGUGGGUUCAAGCCCACGUUGGGUG
rnacentral:tRNA from 1 species